rnacentral:rRNA from 1 species
AUGCAGUCGAACGCAAUCUUUGACUAAUGAGUGCUUGCACUCAGCAGGUUCAAAGUGCGAGUGGCGAACGGGUGAGUAACACGUGGGCAAUCUGCCCAAAAGUGGGGGAUAACACUUGGAAACAGGUGCUAAUACCGCAUCAACCGGCUGACCGCAUGGUCGGCCGGGCAAAGACGGCGUCAGCUGUCGCUUUUGGAUGAGCCCGCGGCGUAUUAACUAGUUGGUAAGGUAACGGCUUACCAAGGUGAUGAUACGUAGCCGAACUGAGAGGUUGAUCGGCCACAUUGGGACUGAGACACGGCCCAAACUCCUACGGGAGGCAGCAGUAGGGAAUCUUCCACAAUGGACGCAAGUCUGAUGGAGCAACGCCGCGUGUAUGAAGAAGGUCUUCGGAUCGUAAAAUACUGUUGUCAGAGAAGAACACGUGAUAGAGUAACUGCUAUGGCGCUGACGGUAUCUGACCAGCAAGUCACGGCUAACUACGUGCCAGCAGCCGCGGUAAUACGUAGGUGGCAAGCGUUGUCCGGAUUUAUUGGGCGUAAAGGGAACGCAGGCGGUCUUUUAAGUCUGAUGUGAAAGCCUUCGGCUUAACCGGAGAAGUGCAUUGGAAACUGGAAGACUUGAGUGCAGAAGAGGAGAGUGGAACUCCAUGUGUAGCGGUGAAAUGCGUAGAUAUAUGGAAGAACACCAGUGGCGAAAGCGGCUCUCUGGUCUGUAACUGACGCUGAGGUUCGAAAGCGUGGGGAGCGAACAGGAUUAGAUAC